GGGAUUGUGGCUCAGCGGUAGAGCACUUGCCUAGCAGGUAAGAGGCCCUGGGUUCGAUCCUCAGCACCA
rnacentral:tRNA from 1 species